CUCUGAGGACCACUGUGGUGCCUGGCCCACAACAAGUGCUGCAUGAGAGCUGCAGCGUGAGAGCUGCUCUGGCCAGAUGCAGCCAUGUCAUCACCAGCUUUCAUCAGCCCCAGCUCUGCUGUCACCAUGGUUCUGGAAGUGCUCAGGUCACCUCGCUCCCGGUUGUUCUGACACAAAAGCAACAAGACACCGAAGGCUGCCUUGACAAAAAGAAGCUGAAAUCCUACAAAAGGGCAAAUAGCGCAAAAGGGGGGCCCCUCCGCUGCUGUCAACCUGUGUUAUGGCUCGACAGAUCCUGCCUUGUGAUUCUGCCCAGUGAGGAUGCCCCGUGGCAUAAGCUCACCAUAUGACUGCACGCUGUGCACAUUGAGGUAACCAUGUGGAAGAGCUAAUUAUGAGACAGGAAAUUAGAGCACGAGCUCAGAGGAAGCAAUCUUUCAGCGCGCAGCAAACCCAACCAUGCAGACCUUAGCAACUGUCUCUGGAAAGAAAACUGGCUUCCUCAGAAGUACAUGGGUUAAAAAUCUCCCUUCCUCUCUCAACUUCUGCUGUUGCACAGCUCAGUGGAAGUCUAAGCAACACCGUCGAAGAUAAAUAGGAGCCUCCCUCAUUAACAGUUCAGCAGGACGCUCAAGCACACUCUUAAAUUUAGGCUUAUGGGUGAUCUUAACGACUUCAACAGGAUGGCUUGCAUGCUUUUUAUUAGGCAUGCGAGUGAGAACCUUGCUGAGUCACAUCCAGAAGGUUCGUACUUUCUUCAAGAUCAAAGGCAGCAUGCUAGCUCCUACAGCCGAAUCCACACGCCUGCACAUUAUUUGCCUUACACUGACUACAUUUGAGUGGGAUGAAGUCCAAUCUGCAAGCCAAAUUAAGCUCUCUCCCUCUUGUGUUCUUCUGUAUUUCUUUCUUUUUUUGUUAUUGAGCAUGUCAGCAGAAGAAGCUGACUUUUGACAGCGCAAAGAUUUGCAAAUGAAAUGCUGGAAUAGUUUGCAAGUUGCUACAGCACUAAAAUACUGAAAAGGCAAUCUGCAAUAAGGCUAAGUGAGAUGUAAAGAGAGUUAGAAUAAUGUUUUCACUGGCACCAAGGCACCUAUGAUCCCCCACCCUGAGGUUUAGAAAGAUGAAAGUACAAACUGCCAGACAGCAAUUCCUUUUGACUUGAGAGUCUACAUUUACUACUGUUUGCUUUGAAAUCACUUUAGCAGAAGAACAGAAUAGCAAAACAUCUUUGAAAUAUCUUCCCCUUCUGACCUGCCCCCAUCCAAAUUAUCACCAAAGCAAAGGCUGCAUGCACCACUCUCCCUAGCUCAUAGAGGAGCUCAAACAGCGUCACUGUCCCACAAAAACGGGCUUGGAUGGAGGCUGCAAAUAACAAAAGCUUGCUUUUGGCCUGCUAACUUUGCAAACACAGCUCUAGGUCAAGGGGUGAAAACAUGUAGAGCUGUCAGAUCAUGUUGGGUUCUCAGUGGAUCAGCUGUGACUUGGGGAGAGGAUCAAAGCGCUCACAGCCUGCUACAUACCACUGGGCUGGGCAGCAAAUACACACAGUACGACUCACCAGGAGGCACCUCUAGGAAAGGCAGGGAAACAGCUACGGCCAACUCAUAGGCAAGACCCAACCUCCCAGGAGCCAUAUAAGGAACCUGAAAGCUGGAAGACGUCACAAGGACAGGGGCAUCACUCAGGACAGGACCCUUUGGUCUCCAGCCUCAGAGAGGUGGCUGUACCCAGACUGGGGACUGACUGGGAGUCAGCUGAGGGCAGUGCAACAGAUAGCAACAGAUAGCAACACAUAUCUGCUCUGGAAAGCUUGCUGGCACUACUCACACAAAUAGAAAUGCAUACUUACAUACACACAUACCUGUCUGCCCUUAUAUUAAAUUCCCGUGCUUUUUGGUACAGGUUGAAAAAUAGGCAGUAGUCAGGUACAACUGAUGUCCCAGAACAUUUAUGAGACAUAAAUGAUGGUCUCGCUCAGAAAUAUGAUUAAUGAAGAAGAAAUCCUUUGUGGGCUUCUUGCCAUCUCAGCAAUUCCCAGUUCAAAUUGCCUUAUUUAGCAUGCACCAACCUUUGCUUUCGGAUUUCUUAAAGUAUGUACUGCUAAGUGAAACUUGAAGGCAGAAGCCAAACUCUUGUAUUCCCAAUGCAUGUGCCAUCUGCUUGGAAAUCAGAAAUCCUCAGAUGCUUCAAAUCAGACCUGAGAAUACAGUCAGCUGAAGACAACAGAUUAAUACUGAGAGAGCACAAACUGGGGCAGAGCGUGGGUUUGCAUUAGUGCUUGCUAUCUUGUUGCACUGUGGGUGCCAGAAGCGUUGCAGGAUCCAUCUAAUCCCUAAACAUAACCCUGCAUUUUGGACAAACUAUCAACAAGGAUCAGGUUUGCCCAUUAAAAGGUUGUUGCACAGGAAGGUCACUUUUUCAGUGCUAUUUCACUUUAACCUUUAUCGUCUGUGUUCACACAGACAGACUGAAUAACCAGAACCAGGGAAAGUUUUCCACUAACACACCCAUAAAUGUAUUUUUUCCUCUGAAGCAAUGGAAAACUUUUAAGGCACUUAGAUGCCACGAUGAUGAGCAUGGCAUUAAAAAAUGUAGAUAGAUAAGAUAAGGCAGAGGGGAUUGUCUGGCAGGAGUCAGCAGCUGUAAUCUGACAUGACGAUAAUUCCCCUUUGUGAAGGCUGGGGCAGGGGCAAUGUGGCUCUCACAUCUUCCAUUAGCAGGGCAACAAAUACAGAAUACUCAUCAAAGAGUCCUGUAAAAAUCACCGUAUCUCUCCAGCCGAUGUCUAGAGCCACCAAUAGAGUCAAAUGCUCUUAAAUGGGAAGUUACGGAGUGUACGGGGCCAGCAUCAAGCACCGACAGCUCAUCAGGGCUGAGACACUACGUGAAAGCAGGGUCAGUGCUUGAAUUAGGAUAUUGGUGGUAGAAACACAACACAGAGGAAAAUAAGAGAUUGUUAGUAAGUGCAAACUGUACAGGAAGUUAAAGCAAAAAUGAACUUUGCUUGUAUGUUAACUUCCUUCCCUCUAGCUAUGAAGUUUCAGAGGAAAGAAAAGUUAUCAUAAAGGCAUCUACUGAAAGCAAUGGGCUGGUCCCACCUAUAUCAUGGGUGGGACAAGGAACCCUCCUGUCCCAGCCCUGUGUACCCCACCAGCUUCAGUGGGUUAUAUCCAGAAAUAUCCCCCCAGGAAAAGAAGUGUCCUAUGGUGGAGGAGAGUGCACAAAGAUUGCACAAAGGCAAUGCUUGCCACAAUCCAUCGCAUCCACUAGCACAAAGGCUUGCUAGUCACAAUCCAUGCAGGAACACAACUCAGGAAACUAAAACCAGGGAAUGCUUAUCCCUCAGCGUGCUCCCAGCUCCUUGCCUUGCUCAGCCAAGGAUCUUCUUUGUUUAUGAGGUGAAGUGUCUGAACUCACCUCCUUCUGAGCCUCAUCAAGGUCUCUUCUAGUCCCAGUGGUGAGCUCUCAGUUUCCCUUUGCAAGGCUGAGGUGGAUUGGCAGCACAGCUCAGCAGCCCAGCAGCCCCCAGGCUCCUCUCACCUGUAAACCUUCAGUCCUGUCUGUCCAUCCACAUUUGAACCGGAGCUCCUUGCUGGCCUGCAGAAGGCAUGCAGUGUGAGGGGACUGCAACCACAAGACACGUGGACACACAAAGGGAAGUGGAAAGGGCAAGAGCCAAUCCAGCUGCUGCUCAGGUAAAUUGGUUGGAAGAAACAAAGCAGAAUUCCAAAAUGCUGAUAUUAAUAAAGCCCCAAACCAAACCAUAACAGCACCUUGACAGAGUGAUCCCCUUUUGCCAGUUUACACCAAAACCCACAGGACCUGCCUCCUUCCCCACAGCCAGUACUCAGGUUCCAAGGGAAAGCCCAGGUUCUGCCCCACAAGAGCACCAUCUGGGACAGCCAUAUGCAGGGAGUUUAAUAUUUAAGAGUUAGCUGAGCUCAAGAUCAUCAAAUCUUGAUGGACUGUUGUACCACAGAAUCCACACUGGCUGGCAUUGGCAUCCUAGUGCACAGCAACAGCUGCUGUUCAAAGCCCCAAAUUAACUUCUGCAAAAAUAAAUGCAGAUACAACAUAUAAAUCCUUCCACAACAAAACUGAGAUAAUUUGCUGUAAAGGCACAGCAGAGUUUUAUUUGUAUUUGUAUGCAUUUUAUUUAUUUCAUGUAUAUAUGUGCAUAUAUAUAAACGUUUCACGUUAGCAAGGGGUUUUAAUAUGGAAAAGAAAUCUUAUCUUACUGGGGUAGAAAGGUCAAGGUAUUUUAAACUAAUUUUUCCACAAUUUGUGUCUGACAGAAACUGAUGCUGUCUAGGUAAGUACCACUAUCUUGGGAUGAGCUCAGGGCCAGCAAAACAAGGUGAUAAGGAAGGGACAUCAUCUCAAAACCAAUAAAUCUCCUUCCCAGAUGGCAUUUUUAUCUGAGAGUGCCAAAAGAAGCUAGACAGGAAAUUUGUGGACCUAUAUAAUGGUAAACUUGUUAAGAGUAAGUGAAUUUCUGAAAGACUAACAGCGAGUUAAUCUGGUGCCUCUGAUUAAAAAAGAACCUCAGCACUUCAGCUAAUGUUUACAGCACAUAAAAUAAUUUAAUCCAGAGCAUCAGCCUCACAAAUAUGUAUGAAGGAGAUAGCAUAACUAGCUUGCAUUUUAAAGAGGUCCCCAAAACAACGAGCUAAAACUAGGGAGCACAGCACUGCAAGCACCGAGGCUUUCCUGCAUGGACUGAGAGGGUUCCUGUGCCAAGGAUCUCUGAAUAACCCCAGAGUUUAGUUUUAAGGCAAAAACAUGAAAGUAUGGGGUGAGCAUUGAAGCUCAGGAGCUCUUGCUCUAAAGCAGCCCUUCUGCUGCAUAUCAAGAGUGAGACCUUGGACCUCUGGUGGAGACUGUCUCAUCUCAUUAGGAUGAUGGACAGAAAGGACAGCAGGAACCCACAUGUGACAGCAGUGCCCUGGUACAGCAGGCUGUGGGAAUGCAGGAGGAACAAUAUCAGCUUUGGCUUCACAAUUGGUACCCCUAAACCUGCAGUAGAGCACAGCCAUUGCCCUGCUCAGACCAGUAAAUUUCAGGAGGACCACACUGUAGCCACAGGUCAUGUAGCUCAAAUAAGGAACUCACCCCUCAGUUCUCAUAGAAAAACAAUCCCAAGCACGUUUCACAUUUACCAGUAUUACUGUUGGACAGAUUCAAGCAGUGAUGA